GGCACCUGUGUCAAAUUCAGUGCCUGCUCUACCAAUGGCAGGCACUAGCCCAGAAGGCUGCCAUAGAAACCCUGUGACUCACGGGCCCUGUUUCAUUCGCUUGGGCUCAGGGAUAAAUCUGGUCACAGACAUCA